GGAAGAGGGAGCCUUCGCUUAGCUUAUAAAAUCUCCUUAUAAAGGCUAACUUAGGUAGGGUAACAGGCACUAACCCUCUCCUCAGCCCGAGGCAAUCUAAAGGAGAAACUGGUUAGGAUUCAAAUCGGCCCAGUCUAAAAUGCAAUCCUCUGUGCGAGGACCAAAUGUCUUUAGCUCAGUACCACUGAAGCCAUCAGAAUGCUGAGACAAAAUUAUUCGGCUUGAUUGGAAUGUAUAUUAUUCAUUGUUGGAAGAGGCACCAUGAUUGCAAGAAGAAAAAAAGGAAGAGAAAGGGAAGCGUCUAACCUACAGAAGAAAGAGCAAACAAAAGGAUGGCAGAGAAGGGAUGAAGAAAGGAAGAAGACAUAGAAUUGAAUCUUUCAUACAAACCUCAAAUGACAAAAUGGCCACUUCAAAGUGGGGAGAAACUGCCUCGGGUAUCCACCCUUGCAUAAAGAGAGCUUUAAGCAGCAUUGAUCUUAUUAUUGAUUUGUUUGUUCAUCCAUCCAUCAAUCGCCACAUAUAAGCUCAGUAUUUGGAGGUUGUGGGCACCUAUAGAUCGAUACUUCCAAGAAGGAAUGAUGGCAGUAGCAAAAAUCCAACCUAUACAUGCUACUUCAAAAGUGGAACUAAUUUUGUGGAAAUCAUGCCUAUCAUUAAAUAUAGUAUCUAGAGGCAUCUUAAGCUAAUCUAACGAAUUUUACUUGGCCAGCUCACUCGGCAAACAAUAUAACUACUUCUUUCACCCG
rnacentral:lncRNA from 1 species